rnacentral:rRNA from 1 species
CAGUCGCCGCGGUAAUACAGAGGGUGCAAGCGUUAAUCGGAUUUAUUGGGUUUAAAGGGUGCGUAGGUGGCCUGUUAAGUCAGGGGUGAAAGACGGUAGCUCAACUAUCGCAGUGCCCUUGAUACUGAUGGGCUUGAAUGAACUAGAGGUAGGCGGAAUGUGACAAGUAGCGGUGAAAUGCAUAGAUAUGUCACAGAACACCAAUUGCGAAGGCAGCUUACUAUGGUUUUAUUGACACUGAGGCACGAAAGCGUGGGGAUCAAACAGGAUUAGAUACCCGGGUAGUCCCUGUCUCUUAUAC